AGCUCAAGAUUUUGAGCAGAAUGAUGGUGAUUCAGAAGAAAUUGAUAAUCCGAGCAGUCCCUGAGAAGGAGGUUCCGACGACACUGAGGCAUUGUAUCGAGGUGGAGAAGAAACAGCUUACUGGUAUUGAGUCUGAGCCUUCGUCGCCGGCUCCAGUUUUUGUUUGCAAGGAGAAACAGGAGGAAUCAAGUGUAAGAUCUGCAAUUUUCUGAGCAGGAGUAAUGCACAAACUAGUAUACUUUCUUGAGUCUUCAAAUCGUAGGUCUGCUUUUCUGAAUCUGAGUGGAGUAAUACCUUAUCCACUUUUCGUAUGAACUAGGUUUCACAAUGUCCAGUUGGAGAAAUACCUAUCCACUUUUGUAUAUACAAAGUGGGCUUCUCAUUGUCCUGAAUAUUCUUGCUUCUACUUCUUGUAUAAAAUAGGGUGUACUUCUCAAUAUCUUUAGAAUGAAGAAACAGUGUGCAGUUACGUCU